rnacentral:lncRNA from 1 species
UCUUGAAAUAGUCUUGAAAUUAACAUAAAAGUUCCAUUUCCAACCAACAAUUCAAACUUAAUUACAAUUCAAAAGUAAAAUAUAGGAUUACAUUCUAAAGAUUCCAAAUACAUCUCAUCUAUAAAAGUACAAGUACAAGAGAUUAUAUACACUAGUUCACGGCUACUUGCUCCAACCUCCAUCCCUGUAAGGAAAACAAACUAAUGGGAUGAGUUAAAAGUUCAGCGAGGUUCCCAAACAAGCAAUCAAGCAAGCAUACACGAAAACAUUUACAUUUAGCACUUUGCACACUUGGCACAGUAAUAAAUAGUCAUUCAAGAGUCAAUUAUUCAUUCAUUGAAAGGAUACAUGCUCACUUGAAGCCAUUCAUUCAUUCAUUCGCCAACCAUUUUCCUUAUCCCUCCGACAUUAGAAAACAUUUGCAAGUAAAAACUCAUUCAGUGCUCAUGUCAUUCAUUCAUUUAUUUUUAUUGCAUUGAAUUCACUGGUCAGUUCUCCACCAGAUUUCGUGGUAAUACUUGAGUAUACCAAACAUUGUCCCAGGGUCACCAGCCGCCCAACCGAGUCCGCUUCUGGCUCGAUUUGACCGUCAACGAAGAGCAAGGGCCCAAUUCAGCCAAAAGGCUUACAUUCAUACACAAGUAGCAUUCAAUCAUUGAAAAUUCACUUUUGCGUGGGUCGAGUGCGAUAAAGUACAUACUCGUCCAUCGAAAAUCCAUUUAGCAAUCAUUGGAAAGCAUUUAACAUUUAGACAACAUUCCACAUAGUCAUUUAAAGCAUACACAUGCAAGGAACACUUACUAAUAAUUAAUGUUAAGCAAAAUCAGGUUGAGGCUGUGACGCCCCCACUUCUCCCUAAGGCGAACCAAAGGGUAUCCGCGGAACGCCUGCCUAACUCUCGCCAGGACUCAAGCAAUUCCAUUCAAGCUUAUUACCGGACCACACAAUACGAGUCAAUAACUUAGAUACAAUAAAUGCGGAAGCGUUCAAGUUUAAUGAAAGUCAUCCGUUAUCCGACCCGCACAUCGGGUGUUCAACAACCAUUAUAUAUAUCUCAAAUAUACAUCAUGCUCCAAAAGUUACAUUCGGAUUCCAAAAUACAAUCCAAAAGCCAACACAUAGUCAAAAGUAAUAGAAACCCUAAACAAAAGUGUAUUAGGAAGGUUUCUUCGAUACCUCGCCAAGUUCAAUCCUGUUAAGGAAAACAAAUCUACAGGGUGAGCAAAACGCUCGUGAGGCCAAGAACACACAUGCAGACACAUAGUUCAGAUAACAAGCCCAAAUACAAUUCAGGUAAUAGCUUGCAAGUAAUUAAUAACGCCGACAAAAUGUAACCAGAAACAAUUCAAGGAUAUGGAAGCUCUCAGGAGCUAAGUUCCACAUUUGCCGAUGUCAUUUGUAUAUCUCCCCGUGAUGACUCUCCGUCAACCGGGUUGAUAUUUUCAUAUCCGUAGUUCACCACUUACUUCUCAUCCGUCCACCAUACACCACUUCGGGCCCGCACGACAUUUAUAAGGCGAUACUUUACGAGUAUGCCAAGCGAGAUCUCUCAAUAGAUCAAGCUUAUCAUGUGAAUCUCAUGGUUCACCGAGGUUCCCGACCAAGCCCAUGCCGGCUCGAGUUCCAAGGUCGGCCUAUGAGUUUGGGCGUCCCCCAUGUAUCAUGUAAAUGUCGAGGAGAUUCACUCCAUCGACGUAUGCAAUCAUAGCAUACCAUUUCAUGCAUUCAAGCAUUUGACAUGUUUAAGCAGGCAUUUCAAGUCAUGUAAACCAGGCAAAUCAUGUUAGACAUGAGUCAUUCGUGCCAAAUGAGAACGAGUGCGAUUAAGUACACACUCGACUCCAUUUUUUUCAAAAUCAAAUAGACUAAGCAUGUAAUCAGGUAAGUCAAGCAUGAAUCAAGACUUUAGAGUUCAAGUAGGCAUACACUUGACACUCACCAGUUAUGCAAGCAAGUAGGUUGGAGGGAGAGUUCAAACUUCCACGGUAGGGUCCUCUUGGAGGUCCUCGUGCGUGCCUGAACAUCGAAUAGUAGAUAAUUACUAUAGGUCCCCAAGUGGUGAGAAAGAUUGGACACGGGUAAGGUUCGGAAAUAUUUGAAAACUUCGUUUGACUUGUCUUUGAAGUUGGAUUCUCAAAAGGGUGCAGGACUCGAGUAAAAAUCGGAUUAUUAUCCUUAAAAUCAUUGGUUGGAAACGAGUACGAGCAAAACGAUUGCAAAUCGAACGAUCGAAAUCGAAAGACGGCUGGCCACGCCACAAUCCGGCCGGAUAUCCGGCCGGAUUUCUGGCCGGAUAUCCGGCCGGAUUUCUGGCCGGAUUGGAGGCAGUGGCUAACCUCCUUUUUUUUUCAAACUUCGCCACCAAUCCGGCCCACAAUCCGGCCAAAACUGGCCGGAUUCUGGUAAAAUUGUUCCUUCGCGGAUUUCCAGAAUUUUUGAUUUUUGGUCAAAUCUUUGAAAAAUCAUAACUUUCUUUCUACUAAUCGAAACUUGAUGAAUUUGGUACCGUUGGAAUCGUCUUCUAAAGUACUAAAAGUCCUUAGAAGACACCAUUCCAUGAAUCUAAGUGGAAGGUAUUCAAAAAUGAGCCUAAAGUUGCUGUUCUAGAUUACCAGGAUUGAGCCGGGGUUGGUUUUUCGCUAACUUUGGAAAUUCGGAAAAAAUCACUCGUUGCAAACCGGCCCUUGAAACUUAUAACUCGAUUAGAAGUGCAAGUAAAGUUUUGAACAGAACAAGCGGCUCAAGAAUUGGAGUUUCGAGUACCGAGAUACGGUAGCUCAAAGUUGGGAAAAAUUCAAGACUGUUACAAAAUUUCCAGAUUUGGUUCCGACUUUGGACCUUUUAUUAAGUGCCGAAACGGACUUGGAUUGACACCAAAUUUUGCAGUAUAAUACUCCAUAUGAAGGGUAUCUCUCUAUCAAAUUUCAUGGAAAAAUACCCUCGGAAAGGUGGUUAAUCAAUCAACCAAAGUUUGGAAAAAUCCUUAAGGCAAUCUGUCCAAAUCUAAGGUUUCAAAAACGAGGCAGUCGCCGUAUUUUGAUCAUAACUCCCUCAAUUUAACUCGGAAUUGGGAAUGGUUGAUAGUGUUAGAAAAUACAUUCACAGGGCUAAAAUUUCACAGAAGAAAUCGUUUCAAGUUUCAGCAUGCAACUGGUUCGAAAUUAAGCCUAAAGUUGCAGCAUCAUCAAAUCAUUUCGGCAGAACGGAGAAACAGGACAGCCGACUUCAGAUGAAUGGUGUGGCUCACACACAUGAAACCAGAAUGUGCAUUAUACACCGUUGGAAACAUGGGAACGUCUAGUUUCAAAUGCCGCUAACGGCACUUGAUUUCGACGUCGGAGUACGGAGUUAUGGACGAAACACGAACACUGGUCUGGUUACGACGGCAACCGUUUUCCCAGAUUACUAGCUUUGGAAAUAAAUUCGUUUGACCCACCAAAACUCAGUAUUUUUCAACGAAAAUUUGUACACAACUGCUACAACAUGUAAACAACAUAAUCAAGCCAUUAAAUCCUCAAAUUUCUGCAUUAAAGUGACCGAACAGAGCAGGGGUAAAAUGGGAACUUUUUGUUUCAAGAGUUCAAUAACGUUUCUGGUAACAAAGCACCUUUAAUCUACUUCCUUAAGCUCUAAUUCAGCAACAAAACCAUCAUCAAACAUCAUCACAGCCAUCAACCCAAAGUGGGAGUUCAUAGAGCCCACGUUUAACAAUUUUCCCAACAAUACAAGCUACUAAAGUGACGAUUCUAGCUCAAAUGCAUAAAUCAAACUCCAAAAGACAAGUUUAAGGUGAUUGAUUACUACCUACUUUGAUGGCUGGUUAGGACAGAAGUUUCGGCCCCUUUGAAGCUUGAAGAACCGUGAAAGCUCCUCCCUUUUCCAGCUAAAUGUGUUGUCCAAGACUUAGGCUAAGUGGUGCUAAAUUUUUAGAAGAUUUGGUGGUGAUUUGCAUGAGUUUUAGAAGAAGAAAUGUUGAAGGUUUCGGUUGUCCCUUUUGCUGCUGCUAUCCGGCCAUGA